rnacentral:tRNA from 1 species
GGGGGUUUGGCUCAGUGGUAGAGCGCUUGCCUAGCAAGAGCAAGGCCCUAAAGGCCCUGGGUUCGGUCCCCAGCUCCG